rnacentral:lncRNA from 1 species
AAAUUACAUGAUUUAUCUACAUGAUUUGUUUUUAACUGUAAUUUAUGAUUGUUAUUUGUUUAAGCGACUGGUCAAGAAACUACGUAACAUGGUAUCUUAGCAACAUUAAUUGGAGAAUUGCGCACCAGUAUACACAGCAGUUUGCUAAUCGUCCGAGUUUGUUCGUAGCAGUUAUUUGCACCAGUAUGACUUCCAGAUUUCAUUAUAACUCCUAAAGUUUCACCCUAUACUUGAAGGGUAACCAACACAGUUGUUGAAUAGUUUAUUAUUCACUACGUUUGUACACCACAAGAGAUUAAAGAAGGCAUCAAGA